rnacentral:rRNA from 3 species
CAUAGGUUAAUGAGGCGAACCGGGGGAACUGAAACAUCUAAGUACCCCGAGGAAAAGAAAUCAACCGAGAUUCCCCCAGUAGCGGCGAGCGAACGGGGAGCAGCCCAGAGCCUGAAUCAGUAUGUGUGUUAGUGGAAGCGUCUGGAAAGGCGCGCGAUACAGGGUGACAGCCCCGUACACAAAAAUGCACAUGCUGUGAGCUCGAUGAGUAGGGCGGGACACGUGGUAUCCUGUCUGAAUAUGGGGGGACCAUCCUCCAAGGCUAAAUACUCCUGACUGACCGAUAGUGAACCAGUACCGUGAGGGAAAGGCGAAAAGAACCCCGGCGAGGGGAGUGAAAAAGAACCUGAAACCGUGUACGUACAAGCAGUGGGAGCACGCUUAGGCGUGUGACUGCGUACCUUUUGUAUAAUGGGUCAGCGACUUAUAUUCUGUAGCAAGGUUAACCGAAUAGGGGAGCCGAAGGGAAACCGAGUCUUAACUGGGCGUUAAGUUGCAGGGUAUAGACCCGAAACCCGGUGAUCUAGCCAUGGGCAGGUUGAAGGUUGGGUAACACUAACUGGAGGACCGAACCGACUAAUGUUGAAAAAUUAGCGGAUGACUUGUGGCUGGGGGUGAAAGGCCAAUCAAACCGGGAGAUAGCUGGUUCUCCCCGAAAGCUAUUUAGGUAGCGCCUCGUGAAUUCAUCUCCGGGGGUAGAGCACUGUUUCGGCAAGGGGGUCAUCCCGACUUACCAACCCGAUGCAAACUGCGAAUACCGGAGAAUGUUAUCACGGGAGACACACGGCGGGUGCUAACGUCCGUCGUGAAGAGGGAAACAACCCAGACCGCCAGCUAAGGUCCCAAAGUCAUGGUUAAGUGGGAAACGAUGUGGGAAGGCCCAGACAGCCAGGAUGUUGGCUUAGAAGCAGCCAUCAUUUAAAGAAAGCGUAAUAGCUCACUGGUCGAGUCGGCCUGCGCGGAAGAUGUAACGGGGCUAAACCAUGCACCGAAGCUGCGGCAGCGACGCUGAUGCGUUGUUGGGUAGGGGAGCGUUCUGUAAGCCUGCGAAGGUGUGCUGUGAGGCAUGCUGGAGGUAUCAGAAGUGCGAAUGCUGACAUAAGUAACGAUAAAGCGGGUGAAAAGCCCGCUCGCCGGAAGACCAAGGGUUCCUGUCCAACGUUAAUCGGGGCAGGGUGAGUCGACCCCUAAGGCGAGGCCGAAAGGCGUAGUCGAUGGGAAACAGGUUAAUAUUCCUGUACUUGGUGUUACUGCGAAGGGGGGACGGAGAAGGCUAUGUUGGCCGGGCGACGGUUGUCCCGGUUUAAGCGUGUAGGCUGGUUUUCCAGGCAAAUCCGGAAAAUCAAGGCU